rnacentral:tRNA from 1 species
GCCGGAGUAGCUCAGGGGUAGAGCAAUUCACUCGUAAUGAAUAGGUCAGGGGUUCGAAUCCCCUCUCCGGCU